rnacentral:rRNA from 1 species
CACGUAGGGGACGAGCGUUGUCCGGAUUCAUUGGGCGUAAAGCGCGCGUAGGCGGCUCGGAAAGUCGGUCGUGAAAUCCCGGGGCUCAACCCCGGGCCUGCGUCCGAUACUCCCGAGCUGGAGGCAGGUAGGGGAGAUCGGAAUUCCUGGUGUAGCGGUGAAAUGCGCAGAUAUCAGGAGGAACACCGGUGGCGAAGGCGGAUCUCUGGGCCGUGCCUGACGCUGAGGCGCGAAAGCGUGGGGAGCAAACAGG